AAUUGGAGGGCAAGUCUGGUGCCAGCAGCCGCGGUAAUUCCAGCUCCAAUAGCGUAUAUUAAAGUUGUUGCAGUUAAAAAGCUCGUAGUUGAAUUUCGGGAUCAAUAUUUCGGUCAUGCCGUUGGUAUGCACUGUUAUCAUUGAUUUCUCACCUUCUAAAGAACCGUAAUGCCAUUAAUUUGGUGUUACGGGGAAUUAGGACUGUUACCUUGAAAAAAUUAGAGUGUUUAAAGCAGGCUCACGCUUGAAUACAUUAGCAUGGAAUAAUGAAAUAGGACAUCCGAUUCUAUUUUGUUGGUUUCUAGGAUCGAUGUAAUGAUUAAUAGGGAUAGUUGGGGGCAUUAGUAUUCAAUUGCCAGAGGUGAAAUUCUUGGAUUUAUUGAAGACUAACUACUGCGAAAGCAUUUGCCAAGGAUGUUUUCAUUAAUCAAGAACGAAAGUUAGGGGAUCGAAGACGAUCAGAUACCGUCGUAGUCUUAACCAUAAACUAUGCCGACUAGGGAUCGGAUGAUGUUAAUUUUUUAAUGACUCAUUCGGCGCCUUACGGGAAACCAAAGUGU
rnacentral:rRNA from 1 species